CUUUUUUUGUUUUAGCAGCACAGAAGUACUACAGCAGGCGGCUCAACAGAACACUUGUUUGAGUGAUGUGGCAAAGACAGAGGUAGACAAGGAAAAGUAAAAAAUAUCAUGUUACUGUGAUUCAUUAUGAGAGGGUUUUCUUAUCUGGCUGAAAGGCUCAUGUCAUGUUUUACCACUUCAAAACGAGUCUGAAACAUUGCAAGACAUGACGAUAGGCAGCAAGUUUGGUCAGUCUCUGGGGCAUCACCCUCAAUUCAUCCCUCCUUGGGCAGCAUGGUGCUCAUUCAAACUGCAUCCUAAACCAUUAGUCAGGCACUGAUAAAAAGUCUA